rnacentral:tRNA from 1 species
GAGAAGGUGGUCGAGUGGUUUAAAACAACGGUUUGCUAAAUCGUCACAUAGUAAAUAAUUUAUGUCAUGGGUUCGAAUCCCAUUCUUCUCA